CCAAAGGCUCUUUUCAGAGCCACUCACCUUUUCACAAUUGGAGCUAU
rfam:Papio anubis isolate 1X1155 chromosome 4, whole genome shotgun sequence.